GGAUGCAGUGUUGGUGUUCAUGUAGAAAGAAAGAGAGUUUAGAGUUGGACUUUGAUGUGUUGAUCUUGUUAGUUAGGUUGUCUUGCCAAAGAUUCGAGUUAUCGAGAUGAGUUAUUUGGCAAGACAGGUGAUAGACGAGCUGAGGUUGUGUUAGAUAAGGGUUUUAAAGAUUUUAAUCUAUUAUUUUUGUACACCCUGUAAGAAUUUUAGAGUUAUUUUAAUAAGAGGAGUUCAUUUUCCAA